AGCCCAUCGCUGAAUCCUGCGGCCCCGGCGGGCCGCCGGGAAAUGUAGCGUUAGGGAGGAGAGUUAUAUCUAUACACGCGCGGUCUCAUUAGUCACGGCCGCCUGUCCAAGUUCAUCUUGAACGGGGCUCCGCUUGCCCGCAGAGGGUGCCAGGCCCGUAGCGACGGUGGCCGGCCGCGACGGUCUCUCUCCCCAGAGUCGGGUUGCUUGAGAGUGCAGCCCUAAGCGGGUGGUAAACUCCAUCUAAGGCUAAAUAUUACCACGAGACCGAUAGCGAACA
rnacentral:rRNA from 1 species